UUCAAAACCGCUUCGAGCCUUGGACGGAGGGAGAAACAAGCCGAGCAACAGGGCCUGGCGGCUUCUCGUCCUGGCGCGCCAGAUUCAGGUAGCAACUCUUCUCUCCCCCCCUUUCUUGUUCAGUUCAUAAUCAUCCACCAAUCUGUAAACCUCGGUCGCUUACUUCUUCCAUCCUUCUUUCUUUUCCCCGAAUUUAACCGGUUUUUAGGAAGAAAGUUCCCUUGCGGCGGAUUUCUUUCAGAUUUCAGUUCUUUCUCUGUUUUGCCUCUUCUGUUUCUCGAUUGCUAGAAUGGUAUUUUUUCGUACCUCCGUAUCAUAAAAGAUGCUGACAUCGGGGGGAAAUUUUCUACAUGUUGAGUUCUUGAUUAGAAGCAGGACAGGUUUAUCACUGAAAAGAGCUACAGAGGGACACUUCAUCCUCAAGAACUUUUUAGAUAAUGUCAGUGAUUUCUGCAUGCUGGUGUAACUCUGAAACUAUUGGGGAUUGUUGGGUGACAUGUGAAUCUAUUUCCACAUGUUUGUAACUUAUUUAUUUGUAGUCAGUAUUACUACGCAUCAUUGCAUAUUUAGACUGAUAAAUCUGAACAGCAGUCAUAGUGUCAACAAUUUACGUUUGAAACAAGAGGAAAUUUCUUUGCAUCAUAUCACUAUCUCAACUUCUCUACUCUGACCAUUUCUGAGGCCACUACGAAAGCCUGCCAUUACGUUAAUGGACUUGUUUCCUUGAAGUUGAAGUACUCUGACAAGUGAUGACAUAAGGCAUGCGACUGUUUCCUUGACUACAGCCUCAGGUCGAAUCAAUCUUUUAGGGUGAUAUAAAAUACAAUUGUAUGAAGCACAGCUGGGGGACCCAUGAUUUUGAUGGUUCCGAAAUUGACAACAAGGCAACUUCACUUCAUAAUCAGUUCUCAACGCAGUUAUUGCUAUCUAGUUCCAAUGAUGUGACCGUGAACAGGGAGGAAAUUGCAACUUCUCCAUGUCCUGACAAGGAGGUUCCAUCUGCCAUCCUCAAUUUGCCGCUAAAGAGUCUUAAGCAGGAUGCUACUGAGGAGGAUGCGAUUAGAUGGAGACUUGAAAAGAAUGGCUUUCCCUUUGUUCUGUCAGACUCAGAGUGCGGUGAUUCUUCAUAUGAUAGUUCUCUCAGCGAACAGUCAUCUACAAUCAGUACCCCAAGUACACCAUUCACAGUACAGUCAGAUACUCAGUCUGUGGAUCUUGACGGAACAGAUAUCUGGGUCUCUUCUUUAGAUCUUGAUGCAGAGGACUCUGCAUUGCUGCCAGGCAAGGAACAGUUUCUGGAUAGUCUCAGUUCUGACUUUCCCAGCCCUUCUUUCAGUGCAGUCAGAAGCCUCCAAUUUGGUCCUUCCAGUUCUAGUCCAGGGACAUCGGAGAGGAAAGAAGCCAGCGAGUCUGAUGAACCAAUAUUCUGGCCAUUUGAGCGCACUGCCUACAACAGCCCUGAAUUUGAAAAAUUUCUCAGUUUGUCACCUCGUAGAAACACAAUGGAUAUGGGGUAUGCUGAAGUUCGUCAGUUAAAUCCUGUCUUGCAGAGGCUCCGUAAGAACAAACUAUCUUCAGCAAAGAAGAGCAUUGAACCGCAUCGAGGGAGUAACAAUUCAUGCCCCAAAGGAACCAAAGUCUCCUCCCAAGAGAAGAUUCAGAAGGCACCUGCCGUUCCGUCCAGAUUGAGCAGGACAACAAAAGCAUCUGCACCCUCCAGUCACCAGGUGCCAAGCAACUGUCAGAGAAGAAGGCCGCCACACUUGAAACUUGCCCCCCCAAGAAAGGUGAGCACUCCAAAAUUACAGACAGAUUAUCCUCUUAAAGAGACUGGAGCACGGGGCAUCCCAAACCUAGCGGACAAGAAGAGUCGGAUCGAAGAGUUGAUUGGAUUGGAUGAGUUUGAUGGCCAUGAAGGCAUCGGUUCGGAUUCCCCAGAUUACCAAUUUUGUCAAUGGCUGUCUCCAAGAUGUCAUGGUACAACAAUCAAGCAUGAGCCAUCUGCAUAGAUUAUUCCAUAGUUCUGUAGCAAUCAGCAGCCUGCUGUACCAUGCCGCCGUAUGUACGUUGUAGCAAAGGCUGAAGUGUUUUUGUAAUCGUCGAUGCAGGACCAGUUGCCUGAUACUGGUUUCAGCAUGGUUGUUGUCCAAGUUCGCAAAGAUGUAUGUCUGCAUCAGUAAGAGCAAGUGCAUGCAGUACAAGUCGCAUCUGUGUUCUUCAGAGAAUUUGUCCCGUGGACGUGGUGGGUUGUUUGGCAGGCGGAGAAGUAUUCAAAGACCUGCAAAAAUUCGUUCAGGUUCAGUGUAAUCGAUUCAGAUGGCAACAAAAGAUUGAAAGCUGUCGCUGCCGUAGCAGAAGUGCACGGUUCAGAAACUGAUGGCCUACGAGGCUCUGGCGCCGGCGUGAAGGAACACCCCAUCUCACACAGUGCCCAUGUCAAGAUUUUUGUAUGCGUGUUCAUGUCAUCUGCCAACACAUCCUUGUAAAAGAUCAGAAAGGGAAAUGUGUAUAAACAUGUAAUGGCUUGUUAUGUGGCU